CCCAGACAAAAGCAGGAUUUUGGAAAACUUUUCGGGAUAUGGAGUUAUUUCUGUAAAGGAAGAACUAUUUCCAGAUUUAUCCACCAUGAAUGCACAGCUCCUAUAGAUACCUGGCCAGCAUCUACAAUGACAGCUAGUGGUGCUGAAGACAGAGGAUGAGCAAGGAUAACUACAUCUCGCAAGGAGGAUUUCAUUUUCUGGAAAGCAGACAAUAUUUCAGUUAUAGAUGUCACUAAAGGUGGUGGUGGUGGUGAUGAGGAUGAUAAUGACAAUGAUGAUGAUCAAAUGGGUAUAACAUCACCAUCACUGGAAGAAGCCAACAUCUC